rfam:Bacillus cellulosilyticus DSM 2522, complete genome.
GAAAUUAAUAUUUUCAUACCGUAGACAGUAGGGGCUAUUUGCUUAAUUAUCCUACCGAGGUGCGUGAAGUAAUGAAGCCUAUUUUAGGAUAGGAUUAAAUACUAAUGCCUCCAUGUCUACAUGGAGGCAUUCUUUAUAUAACG